rnacentral:sRNA from 1 species
ACUCGGUAGGCAGUGCCUACUUUUGGCACGAAACAAACAAUAUUUAUAUUCUAUCCUGGCCAAAACCCAAUACGUCUUUGGCGCAAAAAGUUUUCAGUGUUUCGUUGGCCAAAGUGCAGUAGUUAAAAUAUUUAAACCACAACACGGCAGCAGCGGGAUGGAGAGAAAAAUGUAAGUAAGAUGGAACGCUGCCGCAGGCAUUAAAAUAAUAAGGAUAAGGAAGCGGUUGUUAACCACGAAACCGCUCAAAAAUGAAUGAAUGAAAGACGGCCAGGAGCCGGCGUAUGGAGACCCGUGAACCCUGCGACUCCGGUGAGUGCCGGAGUCGCGUGCUCCGGCGUAUUUUCAGCAUUUCCAGCUCUCCGGGCUGUAAGCGACUCGUUCGGACUCGGACUUUGUUCAUUAUGCGUUUCCUGUUUGCAUAAGACCGAAAAAGCGGCAGCUCCUGUUCCUGCUCCUGCUCCUGGCCCGGUUGUUGUAAUUGUUCUACGGCGUUCUGCGGCUGGCAGGCAACAAUUCUUGAUGCGCCCCAUUGUGACCGGCGUUAAAUUUCGAAAGUUUGCCCUGUUUGCUCCGCCUUGAGGCUAUUUGACAAAACGAGAAACCGGAGCGACACAAGGAAAAAGUGAAAAUUGCAUUGCCAGCCAAAAAAGGAAAUAGGCGAGAGUUUCCAUUUUUCUACUUUUAAUUAUGAGAAGCUCUGGAUUUGAGUAAACACGUUCGAAGUUUGGAUGAGAAGCCAAAAUCUAGAGGCGAAAAACAUUACUCAAUGCCAUCUGGCUUACGACUUGACUCAUUUGUCCUUUCUCCGGAAAAUCAACUAUCCCCGUCCCAGGGCUAAUGAAUUCACCUCAUCGAGGAAGUGUGCCACGUUUGCCUGAUUAGCUUCCCAGCUGCCCCAUGGCUUUUGUUUCAUUUUCACAGCCUUCGAUCCACCCACGACGACGGCGAUGACGACGACCCACUUAUACAGAAACGGUCCUCGACAAUGAAAUAUAUUUUUAAUCAAGCCAAAUCGAAUUCAAAGCAAUACACCGGUGGCUCAUUAUUUAGGCAAAUGUACGGCCAUUAACUACACACAAACACACAGGGGUCCGAGGGACCGAAGCUGACCCGGAGUCCCCGAAAACCUCUGGUGGACCGAAAAUUACAACCCAAAACAAAUUGACAAAUGUUGCCACUUAAUGUGUGCUGUUGCAGCAGGGAUAAAAUGUUUAACAAUUUCGUAUGCCAAAAAUA